rnacentral:rRNA from 1 species
UACGGGGGGGGCAAGCGUUGUUCGGAAUUACUGGGCGUAAAGGGCUCGUAGGCGGCCAACUAAGUCGGGUGUGAAAUCCCCAGGCUUAACCUGGGAACUGCAUCCGAUACUGGAUGGCUUGAAUCCGGGAGAGGGAUGCAGAAUUCCAGGUGUAGCGGUGAAAUGCGCAGAUAUCAGGAGGAACACCUAUGGCGAAGGCAGCUCGCUGGGACGGUACUGACGCUGAGGCGCGAAAGCGUGGGGAGCGAACAGG